rnacentral:rRNA from 1 species
CGCGAAGAACCUUACCUAGGCUUGACAUGUACUGGAAGACUGGCAGAAAUGUCGUCGCCCGCAAGGGUCGGUACACAGGUGCUGCAUGGCUGUCGUCAGCUCGCGUCGUGAGAUGUUGGGUUAAGUCCCGCAACGAGCGCAACCCCUGCAUUUAAUUGCCAGCAUUCAGUUGGGCACUCUAGAUGGACUGCCGGUGUUAAACCGGAGGAAGGUGGGGAUGACGUCAAGUCCUCAUGGCCCUUAUGCCUAGGGCUACACACGUGCUACAAUGGUGGUCACAGAGUGAAGCUAAUCCGCAAGGUAGAGCAAAUCACUUAAAAGCCAUCUAAGUUCAGAUUGGUCUCUGCAACUCGAGACCAUGAAGUUGGAAUCGCUAGUAAUCGCGGAUCAGAAUGCCGCGGUGAAUACGUUCCCGGGCCUUGUACACACCG